rnacentral:rRNA from 1 species
GGGUUGUGAGGUUAAGCGACUAAGCGUACACGGUGGAUGCCCUGGCAGUCAGAGGCGAUGAAGGACGUGCUAAUCUGCGAAAAGCGUCGGUAAGGUGAUAUGAACCGUUAUAGCCGGCGAUGUCCGAAUGGGGAAACCCAGUGCAAUUCGUUGCACUAUCGUUAACUGAAUACAUAGGUUAACGAGGCGAACCGGGGGAACUGAAACAUCUAAGUACCCCGAGGAAAAGAAAUCAACCGAGAUUCCCCCAGUAGCGGCGAGCGAACGGGGAGCAGCCCGGAGUCUGAAUCAGCUUGUGUGUUAGUGGAAGCGUCUGGAAAGUCGCAGGGUACAGGGUGAUACUCCCGUACACUAAAACACACAGGUUGUGAACUCGAAGAGUAGGGCGGGACACGUGGUAUCCUGUCUGAAUAUGGGGGGACCAUCCUCCAAGGCUAAAUACUCCUGACUGACCGAUAGUGAACCAGUACCGUGAGGGAAAGGCGAAAAGAACCCCGGCGAGGGGAGUGAAAAAGAACCUGAAACCGUGUACGUACAAGCAGUAGGAGCCCACUAGUUGGGUGACUGCGUACCUUUUGUAUAAUGGGUCAGCGACUUAUAUUCUGUAGCAAGGUUAACCGAAUAGGGGAGCCGCAGGGAAACCGAGUCUUAACUGGGCGUUAAGUUGCAGGGUAUAGACCCGAAACCCGGUGAUCUAGCCAUGGGCAGGUUGAAGGUUGGGUAACACUAACUGGAGGACCGAACCGACUAAUGUUGAAAAAUUAGCGGAUGACUUGUGGCUGGGGGUGAAAGGCCAAUCAAACCGGGAGAUAGCUGGUUCUCCCCGAAAGCUAUUUAGGUAGCGCCUCGUGAACUCAUCUUCGGGGGUAGAGCACUGUUUCGGCUAGGGGGUCAUCCCGACUUACCAACCCGAUGCAAACUACGAAUACCGAAGAAUGUUAUCACGGGAGACACACGGCGGGUGCUAACGUCCGUCGUGAAGAGGGAAACAACCCAGACCGCCAGCUAAGGUCCCAAAGUCAUGGUUAAGUGGGAAACGAUGUGGGAAGGCCCAGACAGCCAGGAUGUUGGCUUAGAAGCAGCCAUCAUUUAAAGAAAGCGUAAUAGCUCACUGGUCGAGUCGGCCUGCGCGGAAGAUGUAACGGGGCUAAACCAUGCACCGAAGCUGCGGCAGCGACACUAUGUGUUGUUGGGUAGGGGAGCGUUCUGUAAGCCGUUGAAGGUGGCCUGUGAGGGUUGCUGGAGGUAUCAGAAGUGCGAAUGCUGACAUAAGUAACGAUAAUGCGGGUGAAAAACCCGCACGCCGGAAGACCAAGGGUUCCUGUCCAACGUUAAUCGGGGCAGGGUGAGUCGACCCCUAAGGCGAGGCCGAAAGGCGUAGUCGAUGGGAAACAGGUUAAUAUUCCUGUACUUGGUGUUACUGCGAAGGGGGGACGGAGAAGGCUAUGUUGGCCGGGCGACGGUUGUCCCGGUUUAAGCAUGUAGGCGGAUGUUCCAGGUAAAUCCGGAACGUUAUUAACGCUGAGGUGUGAUGACGAGGCACUACGGUGCUGAAGUGACAAAUGCCCUGCUUCCAGGAAAAGCCUCUAAGCAUCAGGUAACAUCAAAUCGUACCCCAAACCGACACAGGUGGUCAGGUAGAGAAUACCAAGGCGCUUGAGAGAACUCGGGUGAAGGAACUAGGCAAAAUGGUGCCGUAACUUCGGGAGAAGGCACGCUGAUGGUAGGUGAAGUGACUUGCUCAUGGAGCUGAAAUCAGUCGAAGAUACCAGCUGGCUGCAACUGUUUAUUAAAAACACAGCACUGUGCAAACACGAAAGUGGACGUAUACGGUGUGACGCCUGCCCGGUGCCGGAAGGUUAAUUGAUGGGGUUAUCCUCACGGAGAAGCUCUUGAUCGAAGCCCCGGUAAACGGCGGCCGUAACUAUAACGGUCCUAAGGUAGCGAAAUUCCUUGUCGGGUAAGUUCCGACCUGCACGAAUGGCGUAAUGAUGGCCAGGCUGUCUCCACCCGAGACUCAGUGAAAUUGAACUCGCUGUGAAGAUGCAGUGUACCCGCGGCAAGACGGAAAGACCCCGUGAACCUUUACUAUAGCUUGACACUGAACACUGGUCCUUGAUGUGUAGGAUAGGUGGGAGGCUUUGAAGUGUGGACGCCAGUCUGCAUGGAGCCAUCCUUGAAAUACCACCCUUUAAUGGCUGGUGUUCUAACGUGGGCCCGUGAUCCGGGUUGCGGACAGUGUCUGGUGGGUAGUUUGACUGGGGCGGUCUCCUCCUAAAGAGUAACGGAGGAGCACGAAGGUCAGCUAAUCCUGGUCGGACAUCAGGAGGUUAGUGCAAUGGCAUAAGCUGGCUUGACUGCGAGCGUGACGGCGCGAGCAGGUGCGAAAGCAGGUCAUAGUGAUCCGGUGGUUCUGAAUGGAAGGGCCAUCGCUCAACGGAUAAAAGGUACUCCGGGGAUAACAGGCUGAUACCGCCCAAGAGUUCAUAUCGACGGCGGUGUUUGGCACCUCGAUGUCGGCUCAUCACAUCCUGGGGCUGAAGUAGGUCCCAAGGGUAUGGCUGUUCGCCAUUUAAAGUGGUACGCGAGCUGGGUUUAGAACGUCGUGAGACAGUUCGGUCCCUAUCUGCCGUGGGCGCUGGAGAAUUGAGGGGGGCUGCUCCUAGUACGAGAGGACCGGAGUGGACGCAUCACUGGUGUUCGGGUUGUCAUGCCAAUGGCAUUGCCCGGUAGCUAAAUGCGGAAGAGAUAAGUGCUGAAAGCAUCUAAGCACGAAACUUGCCCCGAGAUGAGUUCUCCCUGACUCCUUGAGAGUCCUGAAGGAACGUUGAAGACGACGACGUUGAUAGGCCGGGUGUGUAAGCGCAGCGAUGCGUUGAGCUAACCGGUACUAAUGAACCGUGAGGCUUAACCUUACAACGCCGAAG